UACGAAGGGGGCUAGCGUUGCUCGGAAUCACUGGGCGUAAAGCGCACGUAGGCGGCUUGUUAAGUCAGGGGUGAAAUCCUGGAGCUCAACUCCAGAACUGCCUUUGAUACUGGCGAGCUUGAGUUCGGGAGAGGUGAGUGGAACUGCGAGUGUAGAGGUGAAAUUCGUAGAUAUUCGCAAGAACACCAGUGGCGAAGGCGGCUCACUGGCCAGAUACUGACGCUGAGGUGCGAAAGCGUGGGGAGCAAACAGG
rnacentral:rRNA from 1 species